rnacentral:rRNA from 1 species
AGUGAACGUUGGCGGCGUGGAUUAGGCAUGCAAGUCGAGCGAGAACCGUAGCAAUACGGGGACAGCGGCGAAAGGGACAGUAAUGUGUAGGUACCUACCCCGAGGUCUGGGAUAGCUGCGGGAAACUGCGGGUAAUACCGGAUAAUGUCUUCGGACCAAAGGUGUGAUUCCACCUUGGGAGGGGCCUGCAUCCUAUUAGCUAGUUGGCGGGGUAAUGGCCCACCAAGGCAACGAUGGGUAGCGGGUGUGAGAGCACGACCCGCGUCAUUGGGACUGAGACACUGCCCAGACAUCUACGGGUGGCUGCAGUCGAGGAUCUUCGGCAAUGGGCGCAAGCCUGACCGAGCGACGCCGCGUGCGGGAUGAAGGCCUUCGGGUUGUAAACCGCUGUCGUAGAGGAGGAAAUGCAGGGGGGUUCUCCCUUCUGUUUGACCUAUUCUAGGAGGAAGGACGGGCUAAGUUCGUGCCAGCCGCCGCCGUAA